UCUCAGCCCCCCCCCCCCCCCCCCCCCAGCCAGCCUUGCCACACGACUCUCCCCCGGGACCGGCUGUCGGGAAUCUCUGAGCGGUGUAAAGGACCCUCGUGCUGCAAACCUGGGGGUCACCCCCCACCUCCGCCCCCGCCCGCUGACAGCUUGGGUCUUGUGCUUCCCGCCGACAGAGACCUACCGGACACGGAGAGCAGCGAGGAGGAGCUGGGGCCGAGCCCUGGAAGGGAGAGCUGUGUUGGUGUUCUCUGAGAACCCAUAGGGCGUGGCAGUGAGGCACAGCUGUGAGCAGGUACCUGCAGAGUAGGGUGGAUGGUGUGAAGAAAGGGGCUGGCUCAGAACUAGGCCUUCAGCUUGGAGGCCUCAAGGUGUCACACGAUAGAGGCGGAGGGAGAUUUGGCCCAGGAGAAGGCAACGUGACUGGGAAGCAAGAUGCUAGACUGCUGGCGUGGAAGUUGGAGGAAGACGCCAUGAGCCUACGAGUGCCAGGAACAGAGCACUGGAGGCUGGAAAUGUGAGGUGAGGACACACCCUCUAGAGCCUCCACAGGGAGUGUGGCUGAACCAACACGGGGAACUCAGCCCAGUGACACUGAUUUUGGACUUCUGAACUCUGGAGCUGUGGGAGAAUAAACGUGUGUUGUUUUAAGCCACCAACUUUUUAGUAUCUUGUUAGAGCAGUCAUAGAAAAUGAACACAGUAUCUCUCUGAGCAUUUCUGUGAAACUCUCUGCAAGAACAGGUGUUCUGGAAUAUUCACUGCCUUCCACCCAUUGUUUUUAAUUAAAAAAAAUUUUUGAUGUUUA